AAAGAAAACCAUAAGAUUCCAGAGAUUCAAUCGCCAAUGGAGAAGACAUCAAACGAAUCUAAUACUCGUAGAUUCAGAGUUUUGAUGUUCCCAUGGCUAGCUCAUGGCCACAUGUCUCCCUUCUUAGAACAAUCGAUGGGACUUACCCUUUUCCUGCAAUUUUUCUCCGGGAUUAUGAAAUAAAGAAGAUGGCAGCAUUUCUCCAAGAAUUAAAAAAGAAACGUUCCCGAAGAAGGUGUGCUAUCUAUGACUAAGAGCUUUGAAGUAUCUUCUGACAUUGUUUUGCUGAAAGCCUGCAGAGAGAUUGACGGGAAAUAUAUUGAUCACUUAUCUUCCUCUCGUGGAAAGAAGAUUUUAGCUGUCGGUCCUCUUAUUGAACUAAAACAUGAUGUUACCAAGAUGGAGGAGGAGACGGAAAACAGUUCCCAUAUCAUUGAAUUUCUGAAUGGUAGAGAGGAAUCAUCAGUGGUUUAUGUUUGUUUCGGGAGCGAAUACUUUUUGUCCGAGGAAGAAAGGGAAGAGAUGGCAUACGGGCUGGAGCUGAGUAAUGCUAACUUCAUAUGGGUAGUCAGAUUCCCCGUGGGACAUGCCAUUGCCCUUGAAGAAGCUCUAGCAGAAGGGUUUCUCGAGAGGGUGAAAGACAGAGGUGUGGUGGUGGAUGGAUGGGCACCGCAGGCUAAAAUUCUUGAGCAUCCAAGCACUGGUGGUUUUGUGAGCCAUUGCGGAUGGAGUUCUUUUAUGGAAAGCUUAUAUUAUGGGGUUCCAUUGUUAGCCUUGCCCAUGCUUUAUGAUCAGCCUUUCCAAGCUAGACAUGCGGUGGAGAUUGGCGUUGGCAUUGAGAUUUUGAGGGAUGAAGAUGGGCGGAUCAAGAGGGAAAAUGCUGCUAAAGUCAUAAAAGAGGUGGUCGUGGGGAAGAAAGAGCUGGGAGUAUCAGUGAAACAAAAAGCUAAGGAAUUGAGUCACAAGUUGAGAGAAGAAGGUGAAGGGCAGUUGCAUGAAGCAGUAGAGAAGCUCAAGAGCUUAUGCAGCAAGAACCAGUCGCAAGAAUAGUGAAUCCAAGGAAUCCCAGGCUUGAAGCAAGUUUAACGGUGCACUAAGAAUCUCUUCAAAAGCGCAAUUUGAGAUCAAAGAAGUCAGUUCGUGUACAUUUAGAAAAUAAGUGAGAAAGGUAUAUAGAUAGAUGUUUAAAUUCUGAG